rnacentral:lncRNA from 1 species
CUUCGACUAGUUUAUUAUAUAUAAUAAUGUCUUUGGCACUUGUCUAUGCCAUGAUGUGUGCUCUUUUUUCCUUUUACCAGAUUGUGAACAUAAGCAAUAGUUCUUCAAGCAUUUGUGCUUCUAUCUUUAGGGUUUUCAGUUAUUUAUGUGCAGAUUUAUCAUGGGUUUGUUGUGGUCAUGAGAGAGAGAGAGGAUGGAUGGAGUUGGAAGAAUGGAUGACUUUCAUCCAUCAUUUAGUUCAAAAAAUUGUAGAG